CUGGAGAAGCAAAAGUAAAAAGCAAAUUGGUCAAAUCAGAGAUUUAACUUAAGUUAACUAACGACUUGCUUUAAUCCAUUUCAGCCAAUUCCUGUUCCUGUGUCUUUCUCGGAUUUUCUCUUUCCUCAACUCACUUUCUCCAAUCCUCCAACUUCAUUUUUCAUUUUCACCUUCACCUCUGCUACACCCUCGCCAAACAAAGUGCACAACCACCCUGCUCCAUCUCCGAUUGAGCACUCUCUUCUGCCUUGUAUCCAUGAAUGUGAUGAGCCUCUGAUAUUUGCUGUUCUGCUGUGUCUCCUCAAGUCUACAGCAUCCCCCCCCCAAUCCCCACCGUCCAGGCCUGCUGCCUGUUUACUUGACCUCCGAUUUGCUCUGCCUAGCCUUGGGAGCUCCUUAGACCGCCGGCCAACGAGAUCCACCCCAGAUCCAUCCCACGGCUAGCUGAAGGACAACAUCCCUCGCCUCUGCUCAGUUUCGAUCCUGAUUUCUUAACGACCACGACGUCCCUUCCGGAAGAUCCUAUUAGUUAUCCCCUCUACACACCCGCAACAUCAGAAGUUCGAAUACAUCCGGGCUCGUGAGACCUUUGUUGGCUGGGUGGCUCGUCAACUCCCAUGUUUGCUAACACUGACAUUCUGCUGAUAUGAGUUGGGACCGUCCAAUCCACAGUUUCAACUCCUCCAAUGGCGACCCUCAGACCCCAAAGAGAACCCCGACUUCUGUUGCCUUCGGCGAGUCGACCUUCCAAACCCCGAAGCUCGAAUCCAGCUUCUACGACCCUCGAGUCACCUGGAACACGGCAGACCCCUACGCGUCGAGCCCUGAAUUCCUCAAAACCCCCCAGCGAUUCGGAUUGACGACCCCUUCCAAUCACAACUAUCUCCAUGGCUUAGCCGAACGGGACUCCAACCUCGAGCCCUCUGCCUCGUUUGCACUGAGUCUCUCCCCGCAGCUUGAACGGACUACACUUGCUGGAACUGUUGGGGUGAAGAAGACCAAGGGCGGCGCAAAAAAAAGCAGCAACAGCAGGUCUGGGAAGAAAACAUCAGACGAUCAGGGAGAUGAGGGUGGUAAGGAUACAAGUGACUCUGCGAAACACUCAGCAGCUUCGAUGCAAACCCCACCCCCAACGAGCACGGGCAGGAGAAAGAUGCAGAACAAGAGCAAUCCCGUCCAUACACAUCUAGCCACGGGGAGUACUACUGGUGGUGCUGAUGGUAUGAUGGGACCCCCCGACUCGGGUCACCUACAGACUCCAAGCCGGGUUGGUGGAAUCUCCGCCAACCUCUUUGAUGGUCAAACUCUGAACCUAUUCCAGGCAGCUGCUGGCUCUUCAGCAGAUUCACCAUUCUUGCCACAAAAUAGGCUCUUUUGGGACCAGGAUACACAAUUCUCAACUGAUUCGCUGGAUAUGCCAGACAAUUAUGGAGACCCCUUCGGACCGAACCAAACAACUACUGCUGCCUUUGAUCAUGGAUUUGUUCAAAGUGGACUGCAGAAUGACACCCUCCAGGUUCCCAAAUUCGAUACCCUACAAGCCACGUCCGGGAUGGGACAUUUUGACGAUUCUCACGCUUUCAAUACCCCCUCAAUGGGAUCCAUAGACUCUAACCUUUAUCAUUCCUCGUUCUCGACGUCCCCCCGUCUCCCCACCGUACGAGAUGAGGACCCUGCCAUGUUCUUAAGCUCUCCCGCUCGUAGAUUCGGGUUUUCAGAAUCAAACAUGCCACAGAAUACGCCCCCUCGGCUGGAGACUCGUCAACCAUAUCAUCAUCAAACUGAGGAGUCCAAACGUGAGAAAAAACUGAAAGAGUUGAAGCGUGCUAAGAGUUUAGCCCGCCGUAAAGCUGAAGCCGCUGAUGAAGCAUUGGAUGCCCUCCGUCAGUCACGAUCUUUGCAGUUGCUCUCCAGACGAAACUCUACUCAUUCCACCCACCCGCACAAUCGCCAUGCAAGUGUAUAUUCUUCUGGCGCUGGCUCUUAUGGUAAUGGUGUAAGAAAAACCCCUACCAAAGGCCGCUUGUCACCUCUGAAAACAGAAGCGCCCUCAUUUCAUCGCCCUAGCUCGUCGGCAGCUCUAUGUGCACCUGUUGAGUCGGUGGUUUUAAAAAUCGGGAAGGAUGGACGCGCUAAAACUGAGAUGAAAGUGGUAACUGAGCCACCGGCGACCUUGGCUCGUGGACCGGGAAUGGACCUAGAAGAGUCGUCCGCUGAGAGUGAGACUGAAUCCUCGGAUGAAUCCGAUUUUCCAAUUUCUCACAGUACAAACACCUCUUUUCAUAUACCUCCCGAAUCUACUCCACGGCAGCGUAACAUGUCGUGUGCGCAUUCCACCUCACGCCCGCAGUCUAAAAGCUCCUCCUCUUAUUCGUCAACUGUGGCAUCUCCUCACUCCGGACGACAUUCGCCCUGGACAAACUCGUCGCGUAGUAGCGGGAGGUUACCACAAUUACCCGCUCAGAAAGACAGUCGGAUGUUGACUCGUCGACAACACACUAACCCUCCCGGUGGCCACUCGCGCGGCCAGUCGAUAACUGACUCCGAAGCCACUCAAGAAGAUGACGAUGAGGCAGGUGACGCCCAGCAUGCACUGAAACAGGUGUUGAGGACACGGAGCAGACAGGCCAAGCUGCCCACAGCCCUAUAUAACCGUAAGACGCGCCACUUGCAUAAUCCGGGAACAUUACGAUCAUCUCCACCUGGGCUUGGUAGUCAAUUCGAUUCCCACCACGGAGAUAUCAGUUCACCUACUACGAUUACGGAUCCUGAUUUUGCAACACCAACUACCGAUCGCCAGAGCAAUCCUAGCAAUGGAACCAGGUGUGUUUGUAACUCGAUGGAUAAUGGUGGACAUCUGAUGAUCCAGUGCGAAUCUUGCACACAUUGGCUCCAUACGAAAUGCGUUGGCCUGGACCGCCAGAGUCUCCCCCCUGUCUACAUAUGUAUAUAUUGCACUCAAACGCCGAUGAGAGGUGGCCGGAUUCGAGACCCCCUUGCUGGCACCCUAGGUGGCCAAAUCCCCACGUCCCCCCUUGCUCACAAGUCGUACCGGUUCCGAUAGUCAUUCCCAGUCUCUCGUACUCAAUAUUUCAGUUUCAAAUGUUAUUUCACCGUUCCACUGCCAGAUGCAUAUAUUAUCUCUUUGGCGGUCUGUAUCGCUUAGUACACGGGAUCUCAUCCUUUUUUUUUAAUUUUACUUUUUUCCCCUUGACUCUAUUCCACUUUUUAAGCGUUGCAGGUCAGCGACGAUGGCAUGUCUACUUUUAACCCUUCAUACAACACAAUGACUGCUGCAGGAGGACCUGAAGAGCCGUAUUUGAUUUCUUCACUCACGUUCUCCGCCUUCUUAUAAUCCUUUCCCGACACAAGUUCAAUUGCAAUUACACUUUACCAAUACCCCGUUCCGCAGCUCUUCACCAUUUCCACCCUUGUUUCCCUUAUUCUUUUGGGCCUUUUACCCCCAUUUUUAUCAUGAAAUAUUAAUAGCACAGAAUAUCAAACUUGAUUUGUUUUUUUUUCGGAAGUCUGCCAAAAUAAAGCAAAAUAGAAAUGAUGAUUAAAUAAUAAACAAGUAACGGUACUCACAUUAAACUCUCAAGUUCCUGUCCCUAUU
rnacentral:sRNA from 1 species